rnacentral:rRNA from 1 species
AAACGUAGGUGGCAAGCGUUAUCCGGAUUUACUGGGCGUAAAGCGUGUGCAGGCGGGGGUACAAGUGGUGUAUGAAAUUUCCCAGCUUAACUGGGAAGGGUUAUGCCAGACUGUACUUCUGGAGUGCGAGAGAGGGGCGUGGAAUUCCGGGUGUUGAGUGGUGAAAGCCGUAGAGAUCCGGAGGAACCCCAGAGGCGAAGGCGGCGCC